UACGUAGGGGGCUAGCGUUGUCCGGAAUCAUUGGGCGUAAAGCGCGUGUAGGCGGUCCGGUAAGUCCGCUGUGAAAGUCGGGGGCUCAACCCUCGGAUGCCGGUGGAUACUGUCGGGCUUGAGUACGGAAGAGGCGAGUGGAAUUCCUGGUGUAGCGGUGAAAUGCGCAGAUAUCAGGAGGAACACCAUUGCGAAGGCAGCUCGCUGGGACGUUACUGACGCUGAGGCGCGAAAGCGUGGGGAGCGAACAGG
rnacentral:rRNA from 1 species